rnacentral:lncRNA from 1 species
GACAUGAGCAGAUAUUACUGGAUCUUGGACAAGUGGGUCUCUAAGAACAUCAAAGACCCUGAGAAGCCAAAAGUUAUGAAAUGCAUCAGCAGUGGGUUGAAGACAAGGCCUCUCCUUUUCCUGCUGACAUUUCUUCCAUGAGCAGUACCCAGACAGCCGACAGAAAGAGCCCAGGAUAACCUGCCUCAAGCACACAAAUAUUUGUGUGUCUGGCCUCAAGCAAUUAACGCGUCUCCUAACAUGAGGUAAAGAUUAAAUGAAAAUUCUGUCACCCUGAAAUAAACCUGGAAGCAGAAUUCCUGAAUGUUUGCCAAAUAAGGUGGCUAUCAGACUUAAGAUGCUGAACUUUGAAAUGACUGUCAUAGAAACAAAGGCAAGGCAUGGUUGGCGCCCAUUCAACCUGGUCAAUAACAUCCUUAAUUACAGGACAUGGCAUCAUUUUGAUUCACAGUGGAAUAAAAGGCAUCUAUUUGUAUAU